rnacentral:rRNA from 1 species
CCAGAAAGGGACGGCUAACUACGUGCCAGCAGCCGCGGUAAUACGUAGGUCCCGAGCGUUNUCCGGAUUUAUUGGGCGUAAAGGGAGCGCAGGCGGCCNGGAAAGUCUGGAGUAAAAGGCUAUGGCUCAACCAUAGUGUGCUCUGGAAACUGUCUGACUUGAGUGCAGAAGGGGAGAGUGGAAUUCCAUGUGUAGCGGUGAAAUGCGUAGAUAUAUGGAGGAACACCAGUGGCGAAAGCGGCUCUCUGGUCUGUCACUGACGCUGAGGCUCGAAAGCGUGGGUAGCGAACAGGAUUAGAUACCCUGGUAGUCCACGCCGUAAACGAUGAGUGCUAGGUGUUAGGCCCUUUCCGGGGCUUAGUGCCGGAGCUAACGCAAUAAGCACUCCGCCUGGGGAGUACGACCGCAAGGUUGAAACUCAAAGGAAUUGACGGGGGCCCGCACAAGCGGUGGAGCAUGUGGUUUAAUUCGAAGCAACGCGAAGAACCUUACCAGGUCUCGACAUCCCGAUGCUAUUCUUAGAGAUAGGAAGUUACUUCGGUACAUCGGAGACAGGUGGUGCAUGGUUGUCGUCAGCUCGUGUCGUGAGAUGUUGGGUUAAGUCCCGCAACGAGCGCAACCCUUAUUGUUAGUUGCCAUCAUUAAGUUGGGCACUCUAGCGGGACUGCCGGUAAUAAACCGGAGGAAGGUGGGGAUGACGUCAAAUCAUCAUGCCCCUUAUGACCUGGGCUACACACGUGCUACAAUGGUCGGUACAACGAGUUGCGAGCCGGUGACGGCAAGCUAAUCUCUGAAAGCCGAUCUCAGUUCGGAUUGGAGGCUGCAACUCGCCUCCAUGAAGUCGGAAUCGCUAGUAAUCGCGGAUCAGCACGCCGCGGUGAAUACGUUCCCGGGCCUUGUACACACCGCCCGUCACACCACGAGAGUUUGUAACACCCGAAGUCGGUGAGGUAACCUUUUAGGGGCCAG